AUUUGUUCAAUAAAUAUUUACUGAGUGCUGAGUAUUUAAAAAAUAUUACUGAGUACAAAUUACUUCAGAACUUAGCAAUUUAAAACCACAAAAACCAGGAGCUUUUUCACAGUUUCUGUGGGUCAGGAAUUCGGAAGAGAUUUGGCUGGGUGUUUUCAUUCAGGGUCUCCCAUGAAGUUGCAGUCCAAAUGCCGGCCAAGAUGCAGUCAUCUGAAGGCUGGGCUGGGGAUGGAGCCUGCUUCCUGGGCGCUCACCCACAGGGCUGGAGAAUGGAUGCAGGCUGCUGGCCAAAGGCCUCCGUUCUUUGCCACGUGGAGCUUUCCAAGCCUGCUUGAAUGUCCUUACCACAUGGCUCCUCUCACAGCAGGUGAUCCUACAGAGAGCAGGCCACAACGAGAUGCGCUUUUCUCUUUUCAUGGUUCAAACUUGCUCACUUGUGACAUCAUGAAGUUGGGUGCUCUCCAGAGCUGCAGGAGAUCCAAGAACGGGAUAAGGAAUAUAAAAAGCCAUUCAUGGGAAAGCUGCUGUCUUCAAAAGAAAAGAAUGCGUAGCAUAAAACGAUGCCAUUUAAAACUCUAAAUUCAUAGAGCAAGUGCGAUCCUAUCUUUAGGGUUUUCUUUUUUUUCUUUUUUCUGAAGAUGAGGUCUUGCUGUGUUGCCCAAGCUGGUCUCAAAGUCCUGGGCCCAAGUGAUCCUCCUGCCUUGACCUCCUAAAGUGCUGGGAUUACAAGUAUGAGCCACCGUGCCCAGCCCUUUAUGGUUUUCUGAAAAAUGAAGAGGCUAUUUAAGAAGACAGGAAUGGAUGACUAUCUUUAGUUCCUUAGUUUUAAGGAUCACCAUACCAGAUGAGGAUGUUGUCUGCCAGUGACCCUGAAGACUUUAAAGCCAGUUUUAUGCCAUAACCAUGUCUGGGGAGGCCUCGUAAUCAUGGCAGAAGGCAAAGGAGAAGCAAAAGCAUGUCUUCCAUGGUGGCAGAUAAGACAGCAUGUGCAGGAGAGCAGCCCUUUAUAAAACCAUCGGAUCUUGUGAGA
rnacentral:lncRNA from 1 species